AGAGUUGCUAUGACAACAAGGAGAAUAAUAGAACUGUGCGAUAGAUUUCGAUUAAUUAUUGCAGACAGUAUUUCAAAGAAGUUAGUUUACUAAUUAUACAUAUCCUAACGGAAAUGGCCCGUCCAGAUCAAGGAUUAGCUGUUGCUAGAUGUAAUUACGUUGGUCAAGACGAUAUUUGGAAAUCUCACGUCUAUCACGAAACGAAAGCUGCGAAGUCAUGGCCGAGAAAUUGGAACUUCAUGACAACAAGAUAUCGCGACCUUGUAAAAGAAGAAUUUCCGGUGAAAGAAAAAGCUCACCAAGAAACUAAAUUGCCGAAAAUCACACCAAUAGAAGAAAGGGUUAAGGUCUGUUCAAUUUAUUAUACAAUGAUUCAUACAACUCUCAGUCUAUUUACUUUUUCGUAUUCAUAACAACAUUUUAAUUAGAAUUGUUAUUAAAACAGGUGUUGCCCUCGCCUCGACCAAUUCCAAGAACAACAGCACAUAUGAUUGGCUGGAGAUCGUCGCUUCCCGAUCUUAGAGUGAGUAAUGUUUUUCGCGUUAAGCUAUAAGAAAAAAAAAUGAUGGUAAAGAUAAAAUAUUUCCGUAACGGCCUCCUAAGAUUUGACUGGAAGAAAAGGUUAUUGGAAAGGUGAAGUAUUUAGCAUUAUUUUGCUUGCAUUUCUUUCCAGUAAACCUCUUGUCCGUCAACCUUUUUAUGUUCUUUUUUACAUUUAAAUAAGUCGAAACUCAAGAACAAAGUAAAAUAAUACUGACUGUGCUUAGCAUAUACUUUCACCUUAAUAUUAAACGCGAUACUCUCCCAUUUAACAACACGAAAAUCGCAAGUUGUUAUCGCUUUCAGAAAAGUGCCAAAUGUAUAGAAACAAUAUUAAAAGUACUCUUUUUGAAAUUAAUUUUACUGUUAACAGCAAAAAAUAUAUAAAUAGUUUAUGAUAAAAAAAGACAAAGAAUACAAAAAAAACACAAUACAAUUAUUGAAAUAAAAUAACUAUAAGAAAAAAAAAGUAAAUCCUAGUAUACAAUUUAUAAACAAGUGAGAAAUUGUUAAUGUCAAGAAAAGUAAAUUGUACAAAUUUGGAAUACUGUAUCCUUGUCAGUUGAAAGAUUUUCUUUUUUGUAUGAAAAGGGAAUUUUAGUAUGUUUAUCUCUAAGAGUAUUGAUUUCUUCAAGGAAGCUGAAGGUUUAGCAGACACGAUAGCUUAAAAAAAAGGCAAAUUAUAUCAAGUGAACUUAGAUCCUAAAAAAUAUUUAAUAUAGGCUGAUAAGUAGAGGAUAUAAAGUUCUGUUUAAAAAAAACAGGACAAUCAAUCGACGAUUUUUUUAUUUUGUACAAAUAAAACUUGCUUGAAAAAAAAAUACUUAAACGUUGAUUUGACAGGCAACAAUUCCGCAAGUGUUUAUUAUGUCAAAAAAAAAAUAAUAAUUCUUUUUCUACAGCUCGAACGCUAUGGCAGAUAUGCAAAAGGGAAAGGAGGCUUAAUUCGACAAUUGAAGUGGCCGGCUGAAGGCAUUUGCUGAAGAAAAGAGAGAGAGAGAGAGAGAGAGAGAGA
rnacentral:misc_RNA from 1 species